ensembl:Y_RNA Y_RNA Y RNA
GGCUUGAGUGAAGGUAGUGAAUUAUCUCAAUUGACUUUACAGUCAGUUACAGAUUGAACUCCUUUUUCUCCUCUUUUCACCCUUCUCACUACUGUACUUGACUAGUCUUUA